rnacentral:rRNA from 1 species
AGGAUGAACGCUGGCGGCGUGCCUAACACAUGCAAGUCGAACGUCCUGUCUCGCAAGAGGCAGGGAGUGGCGGACGGGUGAGUACCACGUGGGUUAUCUACCGUGAGGUGAGGAAUACCGGCGAGAAAUCGCCGACAAGACCGCAUAGCCUCGGUGCAAGCCGAGGAAAGCUUUCUCGAGAGAGGGAGCGCCACACGAGGAGCCUGCGCCCGAUUAGCUAGCUGGUGGAGUAACGGUUCACCAGGGCGACGAUCGGUAGCUGGUCUGAGAGGACGAUCAGCCACACUGGGAUUGAGAACGGCCCAGACUCCUACGGGGGGCAGCAGUGAGGAAUUUUCGUCAAUGGGGGCAACCCUGAACGAGCAACGCCGCGUGCAGGAGGAAGGUUUUCGGAUCGUAAACUGCUUUUCUCGGGAAGAGAACGGACGGUACCCGAGGAAUCAGCCCCGGCUAACUACGUGCCAGCAGCCGC